rnacentral:rRNA from 3 species
UACAGAGGGUGCGAGCGUUAAUCGGAGUUACUGGGCGUAAAGGGCGCGUAGGCGGUUAUAUAAGAUUGGUGUGAAAUCCCUGGGCUUAACCUAGGAACUGCAUCGAUAACUGUAUGACUGGAGUAUUGUAGAGGGUAGUGGAAUUUCCGGUGUAGCGGUGAAAUGCGUAGAGAUCGGAAGGAACACCAGUGGCGAAGGCGGCUACCUGGACAAAUACUGACGCUGAGGCGCGAGAGCGUGGGGAGCAAACAGG